AGCAGCCCCCUCCACUUGGGACACUGACUUUGCCUUAUUUAGUUGUGGCAACUCCCAGCUUGGAUCACCAGCUGGGCAGGAGAGGUAUUGGAACCCUGCAGGAGUACUAUACGCCUAAAGUGUAAAAACCAGUAACGCUGCAGAUCCUCGGUGCUAGAAGGAAAGACACACGAACAGCAUGAAAAAUUAGUGAAAAAGUUGCCCCAAACAAAUCAAGAUACUACAUUAUAAGAAUCCAUGGAUAGCACAACAGAAGAAAUGACGUCGAAGGAGUUCAGGAUGUACAUAAUUAAAACGUUCUGUGAAUUAAAAGAUGAUAUAAGAGAACAAGAACAGACAGAAAAAAGAUCAUUUCAAUAAAGAGCUACAUAAGCAAAUACAGGAAGCAAAAGAUUACUUCAAUAAGGAUAUGGAGGUUCUGAAAAAAAACCAGUAAUCGUUGAAAUGAAAGAAACAGUAAACUAAAUUAAAAGCUCAAUAGAAAGCAUCACCAACAGAUUAGACCACUUGGAAGGAAGGACCUUAGACAAUGAAGACAAAAUAUAUAAUCUUGAAAAGAAUAUAGAUCACACAGUGAAGAUGGUAAGAAACCAUGAGAAGAACAGUCAAGAAAUAUGGGAUAACAUAAAAAGACCAAAUUUAAGAGUUAUUGGGAUAGAGGAAGGCAUAGAGUUCCAAACCAAAGGAAUGAGCGAUCUAUUCAAUGAAAUAAUAUCAGAAAAGUUCCCAAACAUGAAGAGUGAAUUGGAAAACCAAAUACAAGAGACUUAUAGGAUGCCAAAUGUACAAAAUCACAACAGAUCCACACCAAGGCACAUUAUAAUGAAAAUGCCUAGCAUAUAGAAUAAGGAGAGAAUCUUAAAAGCCACAAGAGAAAGGAAUCAGAUUAUAUAUAGGGGGAAACCAAUUAGGAUAUCUGCAUAUUUUCAACCCAGACUCUUAAAGCUUAGAAGAUCCUGGAACAAUAUAUAUCAAGCUCUGAAAGAAAAUGGAUGUCAACUGAGAAUCUUAUAUCCAGCAAAAUUAAGCUUUAGAUUUGAUGAUGAAAUAAAAACCUUUCAUGGUAAACAAAAGUAAAAAGAAUUUAUAACUAGAAAACCGGCACUACAGCACAUUCUUGGCAAAAUAGUCCACGAAGAGCAAAUGAAAAACAACAAUGAAAACCAGCAGAGGGAGGUAGUACACUAAAGGAAAAACUAAUCAAAGGAGAAAACAACUGAAUUUAAUACCAAAACUAAACAAGAAUGGCUGGAAAUACAAAUCAUGUCUCAAUAAUAACCCUGAAUGUUAGUGGCCUAAACUCAUCAAUCAAAAGACAUAGACUGGCAGAUUGGAUUAAAAAAAGACUCAGCAAUAUGCUGCCUCUAAGAGACUCAUCUCAUCAGAAAAGACAUCCAUCCACAGACUGAAGGUGAAAAAUUGGAAAAAAAAAAUACCAUUCACAUAGAUUGCAGAAACAAGCAGGGGUUUCCAUCCUCGUAUCAAAUAAAGUACACUUAAAGCCAAAGUUAAUCAAAAGGGAUAAAGAGGGACAUUACAUACUGCUUAAGGGAACCAUACAUCAACAAGCUAUAACAAUUAUAAAUAUAUAGGUCCCAAACAAUGGAGCAUCUACAUUCAUCAAACUCUUGUUAAGUUCAAGAGUCAAAUAGACCACAGCACAAUAAUUCUGGGUGACUUUAACACACCUCUUUCACUACUGAAUAGAUCUUCCAAACAAAAGCUGAAUGAAGAAACUAUAGAACUCAAUAAAACAAUAACUUAGACUUAACUGAUAUAUAUAGACUAUUUCAUCCAUCAACAAGCAAAUACACUUUCUUCUCAGCAGAACAUGGAUCCUUCUCUAAAAUAAACCAUAUAUUAUUCCACAAAGCAACUCUCAUGAAAUACAAAAAAGUAGAGAUACUAUCCUGCAUUCUAUCAGAUCAUAAUGGAAUGAAGUUAGAAAUCAAUGAUAAAAUAAAAAAUAACAGCUACUCCAACACCUGGAGACUAAAUAAUAUGCUAUUGAAUGAACAAUACAUUGCAAAAGACAUCAAAGAAGAGAUUAAAAAUUCUUAGGGAUUAAUGAGAACACUGAUCUAACAUAUUAAAAUCUCUGGGACACUAUGAAGGCAGUACUGAGAGCAAAGUUCAUUGCAUGGAGUUCAUUCCUUAAAAGAAGAAAAAAACAAAUAAAUGACCUAACAUUUCAUCUCAAAGCCCUAGAAAAAGAAGAAAAAUCAACUCUAAAAGCAAUAGAAGACAGAAAAUUAUUAAAAUUAGAGCUGAAAUUGAAACAAAAGAAACAAUUGAAAAAAUUGACAGAACAAAGUUGGUUCUUUGAAAAAGUAAAAUUGAUAAACCUUUAGCCAUGAUAACAAAGAGAAGGAGAGAGAAAACUCAAAUUAACAUCAAAUUAACAUCCGUGAUGAAAAAGGAAAUAUCAUGACAGACACUACAGAAAUACAGAAGAUAAUUAGAAAUUAUUUUAAAAUUUGUACUCCAGUCAAAUGAAAAAUACUGAAGGUAUUGGCAAAUUUCUAGAGUCACAUGAUUUGACCAUGUUGAACAGGAUGAUACACACGAAUUAAACAGAACACUUUUAAGGAAUGAAAUAGAAGAUGCCAUCAGAAGCCUACCAACCAAGGCAAAUUCAGGAAUGGAUGGAUACACCACUGAGUUCUACAAGACCUUUAAAGAAGAACUAAUACCAAUAUUCCUCAAAUUAUUUCAUGAAAUAGAAAAAAGAGGGAACACUUCCAGACUCAUUCUAUGAGGCCAGUAUCACCCUGAUUCCAAAACCAGGCAAAGACAUGUCAAAGAAAGAAAAUUUCAGACCAAUAUCUCUAAUGAACACAGAUGCAAAAGUUCUCAAUAAAAUUCUGGCAAAUCAAAUACAAAAACAUAUCAAAGAGAUAGUGCACCACAAUCAAGUGGGGUUUAUCCCAGGGAUGCAAGGUUGCUUCAACAUAUGGACAUCAAUAAAUGUAAUUCAUCACAUCAAUAGACUUAAGGAUAAGAAUCAUAUGAUGAUCUCAAUAAAUGCAGAAAAAACAUUCAACAAAAUACAGCACCCCUUCAUGUUCAAAACACUAGAAAAACUGGGGGUAACAGGUACUUAUCUCAACAUUGUAAAAGCUAUCUAUGCUAAGCCCCAGGCCAACAUCAUUCUAAAUGGAGAAGAUUUGAAAGCAUUCCUUUUAAAAACAAGAUAGGGAUGCCCUUUGUCACCACUUCUAUUUAACAUACUUCUUGAAACACUAUCCAGAGCAAUUAGACAGACAAAGGAAAUUAAAGGGGUACAGAUAAGGAAAGAAGAACUCAAAUUAGCACUAUUUGCCAACUAUAUGAUUCUAUACAUAGAAGACUUAAAAAAUUCCACCAGAAAAUAUCUAGAACUAAUGAAUGAAUUCAGCAAAGUAGCAGAAUAUAAAAUCAACACUCAUAAAUCAAAGGCAUUUCUGUAUGUCAGUGACAAAUCCUCUGAAAGGGAAAUGAGGAAAACUACCCCGUUUACAAUAGCCUCAAAAAAUAAAAUAAAAUACUCAGGAACUGAUGACAGAGGUGAAAGACCUCUACAACAAAAACUAAAGAACACUGAAGAAAGAAAUUAAAGAAGACCUUAGAAGAUGGAAAGAUCUACCUUGCUCUUGGAUAGGCAGAAUUAAUAUUGUCAAAAUGACCAUACUACGAAAAGCCCUAUACAGAUUUAAUUCAAUUCCAAUCAAAAUCCCAAUGACAUUCCUCAUAGAAAUAUAUAAAGCAGUCACAAAAUUCAUCUGGACAAAUAAGAGACCCAGAAUAGCUAAAGCAAUCCUUAGCAAGAAGAGUAAAGCAGGUGGCAUCACUAUACCAAACCUUAAACUAUACUACAGAGUAUCAAAAACAGCAUGGUAUUGGCACCAAAAUAGACUUGUAGACCAAUGGUACAGAAUAGAGGACACAGAGACAAACUCACAUCAAUACAAUCAUCUUACAUUAGACAAAGAUGCCAAAAACAUAUAUUAGAGAAAAGAUAGUCUCUUCAACAAAUGGUGCUGGGAAAACUGGAAAUCCAUAUGCAACAAAAUGAAAUUAAGCCCCUAUCUCUCCUAUCUCUCAUGAACAAAAUUCAAUUCAAAGUGGAUCAAGGACCUAGGAAUUAAACCAGAGAACCUGAACCUAAUAGAAGAAAAAGUAGGCACAAAUCUUUAUCAUGUCGGAUUAGGCCUGACUUCCUUAAUAAGACUCCUGUAGCACAAGACUUAAAAUCAAGAAUCAAUAAAUGGUAUGGAUUCAAACUCAAAAGCUUCUUCUCAGCAAAUGAAACAAUUAGUGAAGUGAAUAGAGAAUGGGAGCAAAUUUUUACCACACGCACAUUAGAUACAGCACUGAUCUCUAGGAUAUAUAAAGAACUCAAAAACUUUUAACACCAAAAUAAUAAUAAUAAUAAUAAUAAUAAUAAUAAUAAUAAUAAUCCAAUCAAUAAAUGUGCCAAGGAACUGAACAGACAUUUCUCAGAAGAUGAUAUACAAUCAGUCGACAAAUAUAUGAAAAAAUGUCCAACAUCUCUAGCAAUCAGAGAAAUGCAAAUCAAAACUACUCUAAGAUUCCAUCUCACUCCAUACAUACAUACAAAUGGCAGCUAUUAAGAAUACAAACAACGGGGCUGGGGUUGUGGCUCAGUGGUAGAGUGCUUGCCUAGCAUAUAUGGGGCACUGGGUUCGAUCCUCAGCACCACAUAAAAAUAAAAAAAGAUUGUGUCCACCUAACACUAAAAAAAAAAAUUAAAUAAAAAAAAGAAUACAAACAACAUAAGUGUUGGUGAGGAUGUGGAGGAAAGGGCACACUCUUACAUUGCUGGUGGGACUGCAAAUUGAUGCAGCCAAUCUGGAAAGCAUUAUGGAGAAUCCUUGGAAAACUGGGAAUGGAUCCACCAUUUGACCCAGCUAUUCCACUCCUCAGUUUUUACCCAAGGGACUUAAAAACAGCAUACUACAGGGACACAGCCACAUCAAUGUUUAUAGCAGCACAAUUCACAAUAGCUAAAUUGUGGCUCCAACCUAGAUACCCUUCAGUAGAUGAAUGGAUAAAGAAAAUGUGGUGUAUAUACACAAUUGAAUAUUACUCAGAGUUAAAAGAAAAUAAAAUCAUGGCAUUUCUUAAAAUGGAUGUAGUUGGAGAAUAUAAUGCUAAGUGAAGCAAGCCAAUCCCAAAAAACCAAAUGUCAAAUUAUUUCUCUGAUAUAAAGAUGCUGAUUCAUAAUGGGGAUGGAGUUGGGAAGCACAGGAGGAAUGGAGGAACUUUAGAUAGGGCAAAGGGGAUAGAAGGGAAGGAGGGUAUAGGAAUAGGAAAGACAGUGGAAUGAGACUGACAUCAUUACCCUAAGUACAUGUAUGAAAACAUGAAUAAUGUGACUCUACUUUGUGUUCAACCAGAGACAUGAAAAAUUGUGCUCUAUUUGUGUAAUAUGAAUUGAAUUGCAUUCUACUGUCAUAUACUAAUUAGAAUAAAUAAAAUUUAAAAAAUUUUUAAAAACACAUAAAAAAGAUAAUACACCAUGAUCAAAUGGGCUUCAUUCCAGUGAUGCAAGGUUGUUUCCACAUACAGAAAUCAAUAAAUGUAAUUCACCACAAGAAUUAAGGACAAGGAUCAUAUGAUCAUUUCAAUAGAUGCAGAAAAGACCUUUCAUGUUAAAAUCCAGCACCCAUUCAUGUUAAAAAUGCUGGAGAAGCUACAUAUUAAAGACCAUUUAUGACAAACCCAAAGGCAGCACUAUAUUGAAUUAAGACAAACUAAAAGCAGUUCCUCUAAAAUCAGGAACAAAAUACAGCUGUCCACUCUCACCACUCCUAUUCAAUAUAGUCAUCAAAACAUUAGCCAGACUGAUCAAGAAAGAAAAGGAAAUCAAAAGGAUACAAAUAGGAAAAGAAGAAGUCAAAUUAUGUUUGUUGAUGACAUGAUCCUCUAUCUAGAAGACCCAAAAAACUCCACAAGAAGACUUCUAGAACUUAUAAAUGAGUUCAGCAAAGCAGAAUAUGAGAUCAUUAUGCAUAAAUCAAUAGCUUUCCUAUUCUCCAACAGUGAUUUAGUCAAGGAAGAAAUCAGGAAGACCAUCCUAUUCACAAUACCUAAACAAUAAAAUAAAAUAAAAUACUUGGGAAUCAAUCUAAACAAGGAGGUAAAAGAACUCUACAAUGAACUUUGUAGAACACCCAAGAAAGAAAGUGAAGAACACCUUAGAAGAUGGAAAGACAUCUCAUGUUCUUGGAUAGGAGGAAAUAAUAUUGUCAAAAUGGCCAUACUACCAAAAGCAAUACACAGAUUCAAUAUAAUCCCCAUCAAAAUAUUAAUGAUAUUCUUCACAGAAUUAGAAAUAAUGAUUCUUAAAUUCAUUUGGAAGAAUUAGAGACUGAGAAUAAACAAAGCAAUACUACACAAGAAAAAGCAGGGGACAUCACAAUACCUCAGCUGAAAUUAUACUACAGAGCUCUAGUAACAAAAACAGCAUAGUAUUGGAAUCAAAAUAGACACGAGGACCAAUGGAACAAAACAGAAGAGACAGAGACAGAUCCACACACCUACAGCCUAAUACUUGAAAGAGGUGCCAAAAAUAUGUUUUGGAGAAAAGACAGCCUUUUUAAAGAACUGGUGCUGGUAAAACUGGACAACUAUACAUAGAACAAUGAAACUAGACCCUUAUCUAUCUCUCACCCUUACAAAACUCAAAUUUAAAUGGAUCAAAGACUUAGAAAUUAGACCAGAAUCCUUGCAAUUGCUAGAAGAAAACAUAGGGUCCACACUCCAUCAUAUAGGUACUGGCACUAACUUCCAUAAUAAGACCCCUAAAGUGCAAGAAAUAAAACAAAUAAUUAACAAGCAGGGUUUAUCAGACUAAAAAGCUUCUGUAGUAUAAAGGAAAAUAUUCUCCAAUGGGAAAAAAUCUUGUUCAGAAAGGGGAUUAAUAUCCAGAAUAUAUAAAGAACUCAAAAAACUUAACACCAAAAAAUAAUAAUAAUAGCCCAAUCAAUAAAUGGGCAAAAGAACUGGAGAGAAGCUUCUCAAAAGAAGGAACACAAUUGACCAACAAACACAUUUUUUAAAAUGUUCAGAAUCUCUAGAAUCAAGGAGGUGCUAUACUAAAUCAAAGCUAUACUAAAAUUUCAUCUCACUCCAGUCAGAAUGGCAAUGAUCAAGAAUAUGAACAAUAAUAAAUGCUGGUGACGUUGUGGGAGGAAAAGGUACCCUUGUGCAUUAUUGGUGGGACUGCAGACUAGUACAACUCCUUUGGAAAGCAGUUGGAGAUUUCUCAAAAAACUAGAGAUGGAACCACCAUCUGACCCAGCUCUCCCACUCCUUGGUAUUUUCCCCCCUCACUGUUUAUGGCAGCACAAUUCAUAAUAGCUAAGUUAUGUAAUCAACCCAAUGCCGGUCAAUAGAUGAAUGGAUUAAAUUGUGUCAUACACACACACACACACACACACACACACACACAAUGGAGUUCUACUCAGGUAUAAAAAAAAGAAUGAAAUUAUGGCAUUUGCCAGUAAAUGAUUCAAAUGAAGAGAAUCAUGCUAAGUGAAAUUAGCCAAACUCACAAACUCAAAGGUUGAAUGUUUUCUCUCAUAUGCAGAAGCUAGAGUGAAAUAAAGGAAAGGGGGAGGGAAGAAUAGGAUAACAUAAAGAUUAAGGGAAGAUCAGUAAUGUGGAAGAAGGAGAUCAAGAGGUAGACUAGAAGGAUGGGUUAGGGGAGGCAAUGCAGAAUGAAUUCUUUAAAAAGUCAUAUUAUGUGCAUAUAUAAAUAAUCCACAGGGAAUUUCACUUUUAUGCAUAAGUAUAAAGAACCUAUCAAAUAUAAAUAAACAGGAAAAGGAAGUAGAGGAAGAACUUGGCAGGGGAAGGAUGGGAGAAAAAAAGGGGUAGGGAAAAUGGAAAAUCAUGAGCUGAAAUUAAAUUCCAUGCACCUAUGAGUCUGUGGGGAUGAUCCCAACUACUAUGUAUAAUUAUAAAGGUUUUUUUAAAAUAAAGACAUGGGAAUGUAUCUCAGUGGUAGAGCAACCCUGGGUUCAAUCUUCAGUAGCACCAAAAAAAAAAAAAAGAGUACAACUCUGAAUAUACUAAAAACUACUGAAUUAUUCAUUAUAGAAUGAUGAAUUUUGUGUAUGAAUUAUGCCUCAAUAAAGCUGCUCUUUAAAACAAAUAAAAAAUUUAAAAACAUUUUUUAUAAGAACCUUCUGUACUGAUCAUUUCCACCUGAUACCUCUUAUGCUUUGUCUUAUUACACUUGAAAAAACCCUUGUAAUAAAAGAUAGUUGUAG
rnacentral:lncRNA from 1 species